GGGGGAGGGGCAGAAUAUUGUGCCUUAAUUUCCAGGCAGAGGAGAUGAGGUGUGCAAAAUCUCCGAGGUGUUGAGGGUUUUUAUGUAUUGGAGAGAUCGAAAGGAGACCAGCAUGGCUGAAGUGGCUGAGGAUGACGGGGACAGUGGUGCUGGAGGAGGCCGGGCAGGUCAGCCAGGGACAGGCGAGGCUUUGGGGUGCACUUUCGGGUCUUUAUCAUGAGCUCAGUGUACAGCCCUAAAGGGGUUUAAGUAAGGCUGAGCCAUGACCUAUUUUCUGUCUUUGAAGGUAUACUCUGUACACAGGGUGGAUCGUGGACUGGAAAAGGGAGAGAGUGGAAGCUGGGCAAAUACCUGCAAGUAUCCUGCGUUUCUCCAGGAGAAGGAUGAUAGGGCGAGGAUGGUGGUGGCACAGGAGCUCGGAACACUUGUCUGGAGGGAGAAUGUUGGAGGCCAGCGGCAUCGAGAUUGUGAUUGCUCUCAUUUGCUCACUGAACAAUCUUCUGUUCGUUUGGCUUGAUCUUAACCUGCCUGUAAGGUGCCUAUCCCUGGGAUUUCAGGAAAUACUUGUUGACUAAAGAAAUGUGAAUACGUUGGUCAAGCUGGACGGAGCAGGUGUCCAGAUGUCUGGCAAUUACGCUUUUCAUUGUAAAUGAAUAUAAAGGCAGUAUAGCUUUAUGUAUCAGUCUCUUCUGAGCUUUCUUAGCAUGUAUCAGUACUGAUAAACGUAAUCAUUUCUGGAACCUCACUGAGAUAGACUUUUGGAGCCAAGAAAUUUGACAGACAGUCCUGAAUUACCUGUCAGUCCUGAAUUCUCCGAGGUGAACGUCACCCUGUGGAGACUCUCUGAACAGCUACCUUUCCCUGGCAGUAUCGUCUAUUUUGAUCAAUGCUUUUCCAUUGUCCUUUUUAAAAAAUUUAAGUAAGCCCAAGAUAGUCAUAUCCACGAAUUGUUUCUGUCUUUAGCAAUUAUUCCACCCAGUGUGGGAAGGUGCUGCCCACCUACAAAAAAAGAACUAUAGAAUUUGAUUGUCUAAAAGGCAUAUUAAAUGUAGAAAGAUUCAGAGUCAAGGAGAACCUUGUUCUAAAUUGUUUCUCUGUGCACCUAACUUUUUAUUAUGGCACGUUGAUUUCCUAUGAAACUUAAAGUUUUUGUUUUUCAAAUCAUCUGUUAUCGAGGCAUCCGGUGAUACUUGUCUGAAGGGCUCUACCUAGGAACUCUGGGAAGUUGGGCAGCUGAAAUAAUUGUCUAAGGUUUAAUGAAGCCCUUUUGGAGCUCCUGAGUUCAGAAGAUGUCAAAGAAUGGUAUAAAACACGUGUGCACAUUUAUGGCUGACUGUAUUUUCCUCAUCUUUUGCAGGGCAAAAAUGGAAGAAACAGAGGUACUUUUAGAUGGAGCAAAGUGAGCCACUGAACAGACAGGCAUUGAAGUACCAGAAAGUUAAUGGCACAGAAUACUGCUGACUGCGUGGUUCUCGUCUUAAUGCAUUUUCCAACCUUGAACCUGAGAAUACCAGAGGCUGGGGACUCUGGACACUCCUCUGCACAGUUUUCUGCCAGUGGCCUGGUUCCUGAGGUAACAAGUGGGUGUCCCGGGCGUGUGUGUGUGUGUUAACAACAGCAGUGAUGCCACGUGGUGCCCAGAGGUCGCCGCGAUCUGUCCCGGGGGUUCCUGGUCCUCGGGGCUUCUGAGAUGAACUGUGAACUUGGGGCAUCCUGAGAAGUACAGGCGUUUUGGAGUGUGCCACAGCAAAUCUGGAUGUCGGCAUAAACACAGCUCUCAAAGUGAAAGCAGGGGCCUCGAGGAAGGAAUUACCCUCAUCUCGCUCCCGACCUGCUUACUGUGCUGGAAAACAAAGUAAGUUUUGUUUGUUUCUUUGUUAGUCAGUUGCUGCUACAUGUUUUCUCUUGCUAACAUUGUAUCAGACACUCCAUAUCUGGCAAACGCCAAGCUUUUCCCCCCUCAUUGGGAAGUAGGAUAUGAAGUUUGUUACAUAGCUACUUGCUUCUUUAAUCUUUUCUGUCUCUCUUCCUAUAUCUAGCGUGCUGGCUUCCUUGUUGGAGAUCGUAUGAGACUGAAAUUUAUUAUCAAUGAGAAAACACAAAGUUCUUUUUUUCUUCUUCUUCUUUUUUAAACAAUCCAAGAACCUUGCUGUUAAUUAAAGGACAGUGACACAGGCAAAACUUUUUUUACGUGGUGCAGCCAGCAGCAUAUCUAGCAAAAGAGCCCCAGUUCACCGUCCUUAUUUCCAUUGGGAAGCAGAAAGGGUGCCUGUACGAGACUUACGUGAAAAUAGAGUGUCCCCCCUGUGGGAACGGCAGACAUUGGCUGGGAGUGGUGCCUGAACAAGAGGCCGUAACUUAAAAACCUGUUGGGAAAUGGGAAGGAGCUGAAGAAUACGAAUUAUUUAGUGAUGUUGGGGGGAAAAAAAAACCCACAAACAGACUUUUUGUAAGAAUGGGAUAAAAUGUAUAAAGACCUAAACUUGUCGAGGAAACUGAUGUUUUCCUUCAAGUUAGAAAGAUUCAUGUUUUGUAGGUUUAUAGAAGAUGUGUGGCUUUCAGAAAGUAAGAGGCAUCACCACCUGUGCAGAUUUUGGGACACCAGCCUAAUUUCUGACACUUGACCCCUGUCUUCCAUUUGUGUUUGUUUGUGUUUUAUCUGAUCCUAGCUCCAGAGCUGUGGCAUGGCUCAGUAAAUUAAUACAAAGCUCUAUGGUUUUGAAAAUGCAAAACAAAUGGAAAUGCAGAGUAGUUUAUGAUUUGUAAUUAGAUUAUCCCUCCUCAUAAAAUGGACUGUUUUUACCGUAGAGUUUUCUGGACUUUUCUCAACUCCCAACGGUAACACUUUAAAGGUAGAAGGAGGCAUUGUAACUACGGAGUGGCAUUGGAAGAGCAGAAAUCAGGAAUCUUCCUUCUAAAUCUCGUAUGGAGUACUGAGUGAAUUUAAGUUAGGGCUUCUGUGCCGUGGGAAUUCACGUUUUAUCUCAACGUGGUGGUGGUAGGACGUGGGGUGUCCGUUUUUCAUUUAAAACCCUCCAGGCUCCUUUUAUGAAUGUCUGUGGAUUAUUCAGCAAACUUCCUUUAAACACCUUUUUGCAGAGUACUGUACUCAGAGCUGCAGUUUGUCACAAUUAAACCUACCGAGAUUUGGUUUGUCAAUUAAAGAUCCAGAACAGUUUGAAGCCAGGGUGAAUGAGCAGAGCAUUCCCCUCGGAACGGUUUGUUAGAGAUGGUGCCACAUGAGCUGGGCUGUCCGCUUCUGAGCUGCCCUCCUAAUUAAAGGGGAAGGUGCCUGCCAUCUGUCUGCUUUCAUUCAGGGCAGUAGGGGGCCUGGGGUGGAAGGAAGCCACCCCCCUUUAUUUUUUCUCCCACUCUUUUUUACAGUCCUCUUUCUCCCUAGUCAGUGACCCAGAAGGUCAUUGAUGAUCUGUCUAUCUCAGACUGAAUAGUAACAUAAGCAUGCAAGGCACUUGCAAAAAAAAAAAAAAAAAAAAAAGUUUAUAAUGUGUGCUUAUCCAUUUAGAAUUCUGCUUGAAUUAUGUCUGGGAGUGUUGUAAUUUCUAUGUUCGUGUCUUUGCUCCUGUUAACUGAGGGCACUACUGGCAGAAAAGUAGGGAUUUUUAGUUUUACUGAUUUUGCUUUUUGUGUGAAAAAAUUGUUUACACUUCACUGGGCAUAAUCAGAAGAUGGCAGCAUCGUAACUGUGCGGUGGGGAUGUACAGAAAUACCGUUCUGAACAAAACCAGGGCUACCUGUUGACUGUGAUACGCACGUGUCAUCACAAGGGAGGUUGUGCACAGGGGUGUUAACACGUGUCCGUGUUACUGAGCGGUGUGCUGAGGCUUCCUGGGCCAAUCAUUGAAAUAAUUCAUGGUAUUUAUCCUUUAGUUAGGCAAUAAGCCUUUUAGCCCCUUUCUCAUGAGAAUAGAUUAUUGGAGAAUUUGGUUUGGGGUCAUGGCUUUUAAUUGUUUUUGAAAUGUAGGGUGCUCUAACUAAAUGAUUGAGCUUUCUUGCCUCAGUUUCCACCUGGAAGAAAUCUCUGCUGCUUUCAGAAACAUUUAAGAGAAUAUGAAAUAAAAUUUUGUCUUCGAUGAAAACUUUAUUAUCACUGAAAAUUUCUAAAAUCUGCGGUGGUUUCUCUUUUCUGUUCUUAUGUACUUGAGCAAAGUGUCAACCGUCAUUUAAAAAGAUUCAGUCCUGACACACACUGUUGAGCUACCCAGGCAGUAGAUUUGGACUUUCCAGAAUAUACUGGGUUUUGGAACUUUCUGUGACAAGGAACUGUGGUGUCUCUUAAGCCCUCCAUGUUUGGAAAGCCCAAAUGUGAGAGUCAUUGUCUGUAAUUUUAUUUAAAGGUUUUUUUUCCAAUUUGUCAUCAACUUAUAAUGAGCUUCCUCGUCGAUGUGCUUAUGUUGUUCAAUCUGGGAAGAGCAGCAUGUAGGUUCUGGAGACAAUGACGUCAGUCUGCAUGAUUGGAUGAUCAUGAAAAGUAGAUCGUUUCCCAGGCACUGACGGGUGCACAGUGCCGAAUAGGCAGGUCUUUUCAUCUUUUUUAUGUAACAAUUUUAGAUCCCCAACAAGGUACUUCACUAACUGUCGUCUCUAAGGUGUGAUUUAAAACUAAUUUGGUUUUACUCAUCUUGUAUUUACUUCAGGGGAUCUAAGUAAACAAUUUAAAUGAAUCACAUCUAGAAAGCGUUCCUUCAAAGUAACGCAAUUAAUAUUUUAACGCACGUAGCAAAAGACACACAGACAUGCAAAUGAAUGUUGCCUCCUUAAGUACCGAGUCAGCUAGGAAGAAGUUAAGCCGCUACUUAACUGCAGCCAUGUCAUGUCGUCUUUGCCAGAGACACACGUAGGACUUGCCGUUUGCUGGUGCCUUGAGAGCCUUCCAUCCUUUUUUAUUGCCCACUGUGGUAGAAAUUCUCUGUCCUUUGAGGACAGGAAGGAGACAGUAAUCAGGUCUGAUGAACAGACUUAUGAUCACAUAACUGACUGGUGUCAUCGGUUCAUGUAAACGUUUACGGAGGCACCUACUACAUUCCAGCCAUGAGGACUGCAGAUUCAGAAAUGGACGUGCCAUGGACCUGGCCCUCCAGGAAGACACAGCUCAGUGGGGUGAAUGAUGUCUAAGGAGGUAACGCUACAUACCGACAAGGACUGUGACAGAGGCACACGUGGUGUUGCGAGGGCCCAGAGAUGGGGUUAAAAUCAAACUUGCUGGAAAAAUGAGAGUUGUACACGUGAUUUAUAAAGGGCAUUACAUAAUAGCUUUUGGGAAAUGAAAGCCCUGGGAGCUGGGGGGAGGGGGGACCUUUUCUAUUUUAAGGAUGAGGAGCUUGGAAUUCAUUUCUGCAGUAAAUUAUCAGCCGUUUGAAAGCCUUUUGAGAAAAAGUGUUUCGUUCUGUAAUAAACAUACUUCUUUUUCACCAGAAGAAAUUGUGGCUAUAUAAAAGGGGGGAGGUCUAAAAAUUUUUUUGGAUAUUGUGAGAAUACUUCUGUCAUUCUCCAAAGGAGACUAUUUUGAAGAAUGGUUUUUAUUUACAUAUUAAAAUCAGGUACUUCUGAAAUACUCAAGAUACCAAAGCAUGACGUGCCAUGGUUAUUGCUGAGAUUAGCUGUAUAGCUUGUGGGAGACAUGAAACUUACGGCAUCUCUAAGUAUAACUUGGAAAAGAAAAGGCUUCUUCAUGUCCUCUCUCGUGUUUCCUGCCCUAGAGACAGAAUUUCUGUCCUGUAGCCAAUAGUAGAUCUUCCUGUGGAUAAGUUCAUUUAACAGUUACUUGUGGAGUGUCCCUCAAUGCCAGGUACAGUUCUAGGAGCUGAUCAGAAGCUGAGCUGAUUAGCUAUAGACCCUGGAUGCUGGUGCUACUCAGAAGGACUCUGUAGGGUUGUCCGUACAGCCACCAUUUCCUGGGUGUUUUUUCUGAGCAUGGCAGUGUGGGCGUGGCCACGAUGCUAUCCUUGUAGAACUUGGAGUAAGAUUCCGUGCACAGGUGACAGAACGAAUGCAGAGCAAGAGAUGAAUGUAUUAAUACAGAGAGCUAACUAAACAUACCACGUGUUUGCAGAAAAGAAAGCUUGUCUGUGACCAGGAUGAUCACGAAAUCAUUUAUGGAUUAAGGAGCAUUUGAGCUGGACAUUGAAAGAAGACUCAGGGAGCAUGUUCCAGUCCAGGGAAAGCCAGGCAAAGGCCUAGAGCGGGAUGGGAAAUUCCAGUGUACCGAGCAGGCAGUAACUGAUUCGUUGUUGCUGGGCAACCAUGUGUGCAAAAGUGACUAAUGAGAGGAUAAGGCCGCCAAGGUCCCUUGAGGCCAGAUCCGGGUGGACCAUGUAUGUCCAACAACUAAAUGCUUUAAACUUGAUCCUGAGCCAUCGGGGAGCAGUGGAAGUGUCCCGGUCAGGAGAGUGACAGUGGGAUCUCUCCUGGAGGAAGCCUUGUCUGAUGUCAGUGUGGGGGGUGGUUGGCCAGUGAGAGAAUCCAAGCGGAAGGCAUGUGAGCUGCUGAGACACAGUCCAGGCCAGAGGGGAAGAGGGCCCAGAUGAGGGGGGACGACUGGAAUGGAGAAAACUAGACAGGUUAAAGAGGUGGGCUUUAGGAACUGCCUGGAUAACAGAGAUUAGCUGGUGGGGAGGUGGGAGCAAAAAUAACUCCAGAUUUUAGAACCAGACUCUGUUUAUUACUUCUCGGCCAUUCGCCAGGCAUUUCACAUAGAUCAGUUCAUUCAGGUGUAUCCUAAUUCUAUAAGGUUGGUGUUUUUGUCCGUAUUUCAGAGAUGUAGAAAACCAAGGCUCAGAGAAAGGUUUGUCUAAAGUUGUCCAGAAGCUAAUAGGAUAUUGAACAGGGCAUUGCAGGUGUUCCUGAUUUCCAUGCCUGUGUUCUCUCUACCGGGUUUGGAAGAGAGCAGGCGUGAGAGAAAAGGUGAUCUCUCGUUGUUUUGCACAUAUUCAGCGUAGAUGCUGGUGAGACGUCCGUCAGGUGACUGGAGACACAGAACCGAAUCUCUAGGACAAAGUCAGGAGGACCAGAGCUUAAGAGCCAGCUGCAUGUUUAUUUAGCAAAUACUUGUUGAGUGUCCUUUGGACCAGUGCUGCAUGGCAGGAGUACACUGGAAAGCAAACAGGCCAUAGUCUUGAUUCACAGACCCGCAGGCCAGGGAGUGAGACGCCACCCUGUGGGUUGAGUAUAAUGCAGGGGGAAGUGCAGAUUUGCCACGGGAAGAGCCACUGAGGGGAAGCUAACCACGUCUAGAGACACAGAAGGCCUCGGAAGAGGUUGUAGCGCUUAACAUGACUCUCGAUGAUGAGUGCCAAGAUAAAGUGGAAAAAGGCCUAUUCGAGGCAGGGGACCUAGAAUGUACUAGACCCAGAGGCAAGAGGGAAACACAGUACGUCUGAGGAACUGGACAUGGUAUGCCUGGAACAAGGGAGGAGGAAACCAGGUAAGUUAGAGAGGUGGGCGGCAGCUAGGUUAGGAAAUGCCCCAGAAGAACAAAGGUCAGCAUGCAAGUUUCUGAAGGCAGCCGUGUUGUUGCUGGUACCUGCUGGGGGGGCGGUGGGGGGAGUCAGAUUUGGGGCUUAGAAUUGUUAGGUUUGGUUAUCCUGAGUAACCAGUGGCCUAAGUAAUUGGUGAAUACAGUAAUGGGGAGCUCAAGGACACGAGGUUGCAGCCGAGAGUGGGAUGUCCAGAUUUAUUAUUGCUCAAGUGCAGCCGUUGGAGGGAUGAUGAGAGAAGAAGGUCAUGAGAGCGGGUGGGUGAAGCGGAGGGCAGAGGCCGGCUGUGGGAGGUGAGGGGGUUGAGGAACUAAGAGACUCCGUCCUGUGCUGGAUGUGGGGUUCACGUGGAGGUGGGGUUCACGGAGGUUGUCGGCCCGACUUGGAGCAGAGAAGGUCAGCGUGAAGGUCGGCUGAGGAGGCGUGGAGGCCGGGCACUGAGGUGGGCCCUGAAAACGUGAUUUCCGCAGAUCGUGUGACGGCGUUAGUGAACGAAGACAAGCAAGGGCACAAAGGCAGAGUGAGUAGGACCUGGGGCCAGGGGUGGGAGGAGAUCAGGAAGGCGUUUUCAAAGAGGAAAACAGGGAAGUUCAGAGUCCCGAAGGCCAGAGGAGGUCCGUGCCAAAGAAGGAGGUGUUGAGCAGCAGCCACUAACUCAGGGCUCAGGAGGAAAGGACUGGCAAGGGACCCUCCGGCCGGCGAGCGCAGAGCGUUCGUUGACUUAAGGCGUGUAAGGGAAUCCCAAAGUACAGGCAGCGAGUAUAACCCCCACUUGCAACACAUUUUUGGUUGGAAGAAAAGAGGAGGCAUAUGGUAGCUUGAGGAGUAAAUCUACUGUAGCAACAAUGAGUCUUGUUACUUUGUUAUUUCUUUGACAGUCUUCUAGGAUUCUCCACUGUGUGUCCUGUUGCUGGUCAAACUGUUUACCCUUUCCAUGCUUCGUUUGUCAAACGGGUACCUGCCUCAUGGGGCUGUCGUAAGGAGUAAAUAAAUGGGUUGUAAAGCGCUGCCUUGGACACAGUAAGUGAUACACAAAUGAAGGUGAAAGAAAGCAAAGAAGGAAGCAGAUACAUACGUUACAAUAAUCAAUCAUAUGUAUUAUAUGCAACAUGUAACAUGCACACAUGCACCCUUGUAUUUUAGGCACUUACCCCUGAGUAUUCAUGAUAAUUCUGUAAUGUGAGUGAAACAGAGGCCCUGAGAGUUACAGGGAACUUAUUCCAGGGCGUGCUGCUGACGAGCAGUCAUCCCGGGAGACAGGGCCCUGUCUCCCGACUUGGAGUGGGUGGCCCUCGCACUGAGCCAGGCUGCGUCCUUGGGCUGUUGCAGGAAGAGUGCUGGACCUGCAGCUUCACAGAAGCAGCUGAGGGCAGCUCUUCUGGGUGUGGUGUGCACUGUGCUCUCCACACAGCCCCCGCCCCGUUGGUGUCACCCCUCUGUGCUGCGUACUUGGCUGGUACCGGCACUGAGUUUGCAACCCUUGUUCCAAAGGCUUGGUCCCCUGUGACUGGAGUGCCUUCCUUCUCCUGACUCAUCCUGCCGUGCAGAUGCCAUCGUCUUCUGCAUCUCCUUUGUAGGGUUUCUUCAGACUUAGAAUUCACCUCUAAAGAAGGGGGUGCCUCGUCAGAAUUCCUUGCCUCUCAUCUCAUCUCAGAGUGAAAUUGCUGUGCGUUCUAGAGAAUUUUCCCACUGGAAGGAACCGUCUGAACAUCAUCUCUUUUGCAAGGAUGGUGUGAUGGUCAAUCUUAUGUGUCAGCUUUAGCCAGGUCACGGUACCCAGCUAUCUGGUGAAACCCUAGUGUGCGUGUCACGGUGCAGAUAGACGUCAUUUAGUUUUAGAUGAGGUUGAACAUUGAAGGCAGUAGACUCUGAGUAAAGCAAAUGAUCCUGUAUAAUUACCCUCAUCCAGUUGUGACAGCCUUAGAGAAAAAGAUUGGUCCCCCUGCCCCCACCGCCACCAAGGAAGAGGGAAUUCUGUCUCCAGACAGCCCUCCAGCUUGGACUGCAACACAGCUCUUCUCUGGGUCACCAUCCUGAGUGUGGGUUUGCCAACCCCCAUAAUCGCCUGAGCCAGUUCCUUAAAAUAAAUCUCUCCGUCAUUCUCCAUCUCUCUCUCCACCAUACGUGCACACUGAGACAGACAGACAGACACACACACACACACACACACACACACACACGCACGCACAUCCUAUUUGUUUCUCUGGAGAACCUUUAUUAUAGAUAGGAAAAUACAGAAAUUGAAAUUGCUCAGCUGCUGUUGAUAGUAGCAAAAAGCUGCAUCAGCUCUCUCGGCAUUCUUGGUGUACAUGUGUGUGCAUGUGUAUAUACAUACAUAUGUAUACAUACAUGUACAUACAUAUAUACACACACACUUUUAUUUAUGUAUGAUUUGUUGUAUAGAUGGGAAAGUGAAUUGUAGAAAGGAUGUGGGGUACUCAGUGUGAUGCAUAAACUUGAUGGGAGAGUUAAAGAAAGAACUUGAUUUCCUCUGGUUGUGGUUUAGUUGUUGUCUUGCUGUUUGGCUCUCAUGUUUUUAUUAGCAAGAUAAUAAAGUUACUGGGUUUGCCAUACAUAAUUAUUGCUAACAUUUAUGGAAUAUUUUCCAUAGGGUACUAAUCUAAUUGCUUUAUAGCUGUUUAUGAUUUUUAUCCAUACAUCUACCCAGGAUCUAAUAUUAUCCUCAUAUUACAGAUUUUUUUAAUGUUUAUUUAUUUUUGAGAGAGAGAGAGAGAAGCAGAGUGCAAGUGGGGGAGGGACAGAGAGUGAGGGAGACACAGAAUCUGAAGCAGGCUCCAGGCUCCGAGCUGUCAGCACAGAGCCCGAUAUAGGGCUCGAACUCAAGGACUGCUAGAUCAUGACCUGAGUCAAAGUCACACACUUAACCGACUGAGCCACCCAGGCGCCCCCCUCAUAUUACAGAUUUGAAACACCGAGUCCCAGUGAGCAACAUGGUCACUGCUGUGGAGAACUGAGUGAUGGAGAGUGCUUAGGGCCCUGGCAGCCUGGCUCCAGAGGUUAUGUUCCUAACCAUUCCUUCUGCCCUACUGCUUCUCAGCGUAAGACGUCUUGAGCAGAGCUCUUCAUCUGUCCUUGUGGAGUCCUCAUCCAGAACAGUCUUUAUGGUAGCGGUACUUUCCGUAGGGUUUGUUUUAGAAGAGAAAAUGCUUGGGGUGCCUGGGUGGCUCAGUCUGUUAAGCAUCCGACUUCAGCUCAGGUCAUGAUCUCGCGGUUCGUGAAUUCAAGCCCCACGUCGGGCUCUGUGCUGACAGCUCGGCACCUGGAGCCUGCUUCGGAUUCUAUGUCUCCCUCUCUCUGCCCCUCCCCUGCUCAUGCUCAUGCUCUGUCUCUGUCUUCGUCUCUGUCUCUGUCAAAAAUAAAUAACAUUAAAAAGAUAAAAAAUAAUAAAAGAGAAAAUACUUAUAAGUUAUAUCAGUUAUAAGAGGCCAUCUAAUACCUGCAUGCUACCUCCUGGAGAAACAGAGAACAUACCCAUUGCAACAAUGGUAUGGGCCUCUUGCUGGGGUAAACUUUUAGCAACUAGACUUUCCUGUCUAGCUUGGUAACCAUCUAAUUUGUAAAAAGCAUACAGAAAUGUGAUAAAGUGGUGAUGUGGUUUAGUUUCUUGUCCAGCAAUUUGGUGAGUGUCCCGGGGAAGGAGAUAGCAUGCUUCUGUGUAUAUGUCCCUUGGUUCUCUGCAGAAAUAACCAUCAAAACUGCCAUUUACUAGGCCUUGUGUGCACCAGGAACUGCUGCAAGUGCUUUACAAACAUGCCUCAUGGAGUCUUCUCAACAUCAUCCUUCCGUUUUACGUUUAAAUAAGGCAGUGAUGAGGGAGUUCAAGAAUGUUUCCGCAGUAAGUGGCACAGGACUUACACUUCAUCUUAAUGACACCAGUGCUCUCAGUCUCUCUGCUGUAUAUCCCUGAGACCCACUACUCUUCCCUGCUAGACUGUAAGCUCCGUGAGGACAGGAACUUUUUGUUUCACUGGGUUCACCACCAUAUUUGAGCAUCUACCAAGUGCACUGCCUGACACAUAGUAGGUACUUAGCGCCUGAUGUUGAGCGACGAACUCACUGUGUUCUCUGUGAUCACCACCAGCCAGCUAUGGGCCAGGUAGAGAGCACCGACCUGGGAAGGGUACUGUGGACUCCUGCAGAUUCAGCCCUCAGGUACCUGUUGGAGGAUAUUUUCUCUGUGUCUCAAGAUGAGCAUAUCAGCCUGACCUUCAGGUAGAUACUGCAUAGCUCUGUCAAUAAUCUCCUUCGCCAGAGAAAUCUAAAUGAUGUUAUGUACGUCCCUGUCCUUAGAAUUCAGGACUGAUAUUUUAUAGCUUGUACUCUAUACUGAUCUGGAAAACAUCUGAAUAAUACUGGUGCUUUUUAAGGAAACAUCAAAUUAUAAAUUACAUAUAAAUAGUUUUAAUUUCUUCUUUUUAAAUUUUUUAUUUCAACGUUUUUUUAUUUAUUUUUGGGACAGAGAGACAGAGCAUGAACGGGGGAGGGGCAGAGAGAGAGGGAGACACAGAAUCGGAAACAGGCUCCAGGCUCCGAGCCAUCAGCCCAGAGCCUGACGCGGGGCUCGAACUCACGGACCGCAAGAUCGUGACCUGGCUGAAGUCGGACGCUUAACCGACUGCGCCACCCAGGCGCCCCAAUAGUUUUAAUUUCUAAUGAAUUUUUUUUUUUUUCUUUUUUUUAGAGAGAGAGAAAGUGAGCAGGGGAGGGGCAGAGAGAGGGGGACAGAGGAUCCAAAGCAGGUUCUGUAUUGACAGCAGCAAGCCCAGUGUGGGCUCAAACUCAUGAACUGUGAGAUCAUGACCUGAGCCAAAGUUGGAUGCUCAAACUGACUGAGCUACCCAGGUGCCCCAUCAAAUUAUAUGUUUUUAAGACAUUCCCAAAGGUCUCUGUUUAUUCCAUUUUUCCAGAUCUCUCCCUCUCUCUUGUGUCUUUUUUUUCUUCACACAGGCACUCGCACACACACACCCGCACUCAUACUCAAACAUGCACUCACACACACUCACACACUACUCAUACAUGUACAUGCAUGUACAUGUGCUCACACACACAUGCAUUCACACUCAUACCCCUUAGUUUCUCACUAAUUAAUGAAUCUUCUUUGUAAACACUUUAUAAACCAAAACUGCAUUACUUAUAUUUAUAUUUUGUCCCAUUUUUUUCCUUAAAGUUUAGUUUCUUUGCUUCGUAUAACUGGACACUAAGUAUUGCAAUCUGCACCAUUAUAUAAGCUUGUUUUUCCUCUUGGAAGUAGUAAAUUAUGAUGAGUUUGAUAAAAAAUAUAAAUCAGAAUAAGCAGCAUUCAGUACUUAGCCUUCUAGUCUAGCCUAUGUUUGUGCAGGUGUAUGAUUAUUUAUGCAGACCUAUAGUAAAUAGUGUGAACUUUCUUUGCAAAACAAAUGGUACGGUCCAGAAGAAUCACCUCUGGGCUUGUAUGUUUUGUAAACUAUGUGGGUCUGUAUACACACUUGACUUGUGAGCCACGGUUUAUACCUUUUAUAAUUUUUUUCACCUUAAAAAAACCCUACAUGGCAAGAAACUCCAUUAUUAUUAGUAUAAAAAGCCUUAUAAUUUAUAGCCAAAUCAAGGCCAGGAAAGAAUGCAGAUUCACUCAGUAAAAACUCAUUAACAGCCUGCUCUGUACCAGAAUGCACUUCCUUGUAGCUUUGGAAAGCCUCAUAGUAGGGCGGUUUCUGUUUGAGAAUGAACAGUCACAAGAGCAAGGCAGAUAUAGACAAGAAUGUAAUUUUCCAAAAUUUAAAUGAGGGGUGCUAGAGUAUACAUCCAAACAAAAUACAGGAGCACCUGGGUGGCUCAUCUGACUUCAGUUUAGGUCAUGAUCUCAUGGUUCGUGAAUUCAAGUCCCACAUCAGGUGAACAUGAAUCCUGCUUCGGGUGAGCCCUCCUUCUCUCUCUCUUUCUCUCUCUCUCUCUCUCUCUCUCUCUCUCUCUCUCUCCCUCCCCCCACCUCCUCUCACUCUCUCUCUCCCUCCCCCCCCACCCUCCUCUCACUCUCUCUCUCUCUGCCCCUCGUGGGAUUCUCUCUCUCUCCCUUUCUCUCUCCCUCUCUCUACCCCUUGCUCACUUGCGCCCUCUCUCUCUCAAAACAAAACAAAAUACAGUCCUAUUAGAGUUACAAAAGUAAUAGAUAAAUUUGAAAAAAAUGUACUUUUGCAAUCUUCUCAAACUUAAAUUUUUUCUGGCAUUCCUCUUUUUGAAUCUGUAUGCUGAAUUGUUUAUUCUUUUUUUUAGUAGGGAGGAAGAAAACGUUCUCCUUAGGAAUUCAUUAGAAAUUAAAAUUAAUUUCAGCAUUUAGUAUUCUUUAGACUCUGGUGGAGGCUGAUUUGAAAGGGUGUGUUUAGUUGGAUCGGCCAUGGAGAAAGAGAACAAGCAGUUGUCCUGGCCAGUACAUCUUUGCUAUGAUGGGGAAAUGGCGUCGCUUUAACGUUCAUUUAUUUUUGAGACAGACAGAGACAGAGUGCCAGCUGGGGAGGGGCAGAGAGAGAGGGAGACACAGAAUCUGAAGCAGGCUGUGGGCUCUGAGCUGCCAGUACAGGGCCCGAUGUGGGAUUUGAACUCAUGAACCUUGAGAUCAUGACCUGAGUUGAAGUCGGACGCUUAACUUGACUGAGCCACCCAGGCGCUCCAAGAAAUGGCGUUGCUUUAAUUGCAACUCUUUCAUUGCCUUCCUUGCCAAGCCCAGUGGCUCCUGUUAUAACAUGUGGUGACUUUUCCCUUGGAGACUAACUCGCUCCAAGUUACCGUAAUAUUUAGGACCAGCUACAAAGACAUUUCUUCCCCCAAACCCAUGCCAAAUCUAAAUCAAACUAUCGUCUCCUCCCUGGCCACUCAAAUACACCCGGCUCAUAUUUGAAAAGGACAAGAAAUGCACAGGCCUCUCAUGCCUGUUUGAACAGAUAGAUAAACAAGGCACAUCAUGCCUAGUGUUGCUUUGAGCUUGGUCAUUUCCUUCUAAAAUAGACUCUGAUACUAUGUUCACUUAAGACUUGGAACUUAGAUGUUCUAGAAAGAAGCAUAUUUUAAGUCUAGCUACAGCAAAUUUAGUCUGCUGUCAGUGCUGAUGCAGGAAAGAGGAGUAAAUCUAAAAUCAUGGGCCUUCAAUAGGUGUGGCUCUGAGCUUCUCCUACACAAACCUCAGUCUCGAGUGCGGGCAGGUCAGCUAGAUGUCCCGUCCCCAUCCUUAGUGGCCGCAGGUUGUCUGCUCACCACAGGUAACGCUAAACAAAUAAUGCUAAUCCAUUUUGUUUUGAAGAAGGCAAGACUGGGUGGCUCAGUCGGUUGAGCGUCUGGCUUCAGCUCAGGUCAUGAUCUCACUGUUUGUGGGUGCGAGCCCCACAUCGGGCUCUGUCCUGACAGCUCAGAGCCUGGAGCCUGCUUCGAACUUUGUGUCUCCCUUUCUCUCUACUCCUCCCCUGCUCAUGCUCUGUUUCUCUCCUUCAAAAAUAAAUAAAAACAUUGAAAAAAAGAAAAAAAA